rfam:Methanobrevibacter sp. AbM4, complete genome.
GGGCUCGUAGCUCAGUUGGGAGAGCGCUGCCCUUGCAAGGCAGAGGCCCCGGGUUCAAGUCCCGGUGAGUCCA